AUAAUUACCGGGCGCAGGGCAUAGCCGUGAUCAAGAAGGCGGUUUCCCCAGGGGAUGGCCUUCCUCGCGGUUGCGCUGACCCCUGUGGGUUAUUAUAAAGGCUCAUAGUGACAUAACCCAUGCGGAAUAAUUUUUGGUAGUCGGGACUGCGACCAUAAGCGCGGUCCCAA